rnacentral:rRNA from 1 species
AGCAGUAGCCACGGUAAUACGAAGGGUGCAAGCGUUAAUCGGAAUUACUGGGCGUAAAGCGUGCGUAGGCGGUGAGUUAAGUCUGCUGUGAAAUCCCCGGGCUCAACCUGGGAAUGGCAGUGGAUACUGGCUCGCUAGAGUGUGUCAGAGGAUGGUGGAAUUCCCGGUGUAGCGGUGAAAUGCGUAGAGAUCGGGAGGAACAUCAGUGGCGAAGGCGGCCAUCUGGGACAACACUGACGCUGAGGCACGAAAGCGUGGGGAGCAAACAGGAUUAGAGACCCCCGUAGUCCCUGUCUCUUAUAC